rnacentral:rRNA from 1 species
AACCUGCAGAAGGAUCAUUAGUGAAAGCAUGGGUCAGCCAUACGGAUGCGCAAGCGUCUCUGGCGACCUUUUUUUCCAUUUAUCCAAACCCGUGUGCACUGUGUAGCGUGUCUUUUUGGAUGCGCUACGAAAUUUCUACACUCGUAUGUUGUAUGUACGUGAACUUGUUGGACCGUUACUGGCCAACCAACUUUACACAACUUUCGACAACGGAUCUCUUGGUUCUCCCAUCGAUGAAGAACGCAGCGAAACGCGAUAGGUAAUGUGAAUUGCAGAAUUCCGUGAAUCAUCGAAUCUUUGAACGCACCUUGCGCUCCAUGGUAUUCCGUGGAGCAUGCCUGUUUGAGUGCCGUGAAUUCUCUCCCCCCUUUGGGUUGCGAAAGCAGUCCUAGGCGGCGGAGGUUGGAUGGGCGAUGCCUUGCGAGGCUGGCCCGAAAAGCAUUAGCGCCUCGCUAGAGCCUCUAAGGGAGAGGCCCAAGUGACUUGGCCUUGGUCGGCUAUGCCAAACCAAGACGGAGUGCAAGCGCAGCAUGAUACGUCAUUUGCUGUGUGCGCCGCCGGCUUGGGGACGACCCAAGACAAGCGCUUGGAGCGAAGAGUGCGCUUCGAAGUAGCGUGGAGACGAUUGUCUUGGAACGCAUUCCCUUUUUCUUCUGGUCUCAAAUCAGGUAGGAUCACCCGCCGAACUUAAG